rnacentral:piRNA from 1 species
UAUCAUGAUGGCAGUCUCCUGUGUGUGAA